rnacentral:piRNA from 1 species
UCAUAUCACAGAGGUUGAUGUCAGUAAU